ensembl:snRNA U6 U6 spliceosomal RNA
GUGCUCACUUUGUCAGUAUAUAUACUAAAUUUUGGAAAAUACAGAGAAGGUUAUCAUGGCCUCUUCUCAAGGAUGACAUGUAAAUUUGUGAUGUGUUCUGUGAUUCC